GCAGAUACGGCGAGACCGGCGCUGUCGUGUCCCUGCUUCCCCUUGCCUUUUUCUUUUCUUUCUAAUUGGCAUUAUAAGCGCGUAUAAGUGUCUAAAGCGGGGGUGCCAAGAGAACAGAGCCAGGCUCUGCUCGGUGGUGCCAGCCAACAGAACAAGAGGCAAGGUGCAGAAACUGAUGCCCAGGAAGCUCCACCUGAACACGAGGGUGUUUAGGUGUCUUUACUGGGACAGAUCGCCCGGAGAGGCUGUGGAGUGCCCCUCACUGGAGAGAUUCCAGAACCGCCUGGACACAGUCCUGUGCCGUGUGCUCUGGGCUGGCACUGCUGGAGCAGGGAGGUGGGAGCAGAUGCCCCUCUGUGGUCCCUCCCGACCUGACCCAUCCUGUUACCUGCAGCUCCCUGGCCCCACAACGUGCCCCUGGGCUGGCCCUGGGCAAAGGGCACAUCCAGCUCCUGCAGAAAAUAUGUGGGAAAGGGGUCAUACCCUCAGCUCCUGAAGCAAUGCAUCUCCUCAAAGAGCACCCAAACAAUGGCCUUUUGCAUGUGUUUCCAAAGUGAGCAUCCUGACUCACUGAGCAACUUUCAGCUUGUUUUUCCUCAAAAAUACACAGAUAAAGGAAAAUAAAUAAGGCUAAACAGGCAAAUACUUAGCAUCAUGUGCAAAAUUGUUGUCAGGAUUAAUAUUUUGAAAAUCCAAGCACCUAAAGCUGCAUAAAUGGCUAACUAAAAUCUUCAUGAAUAUCCACACAAUAAAUACAAAAAUCUUCCAAAAUAUAAGCAGCUGUCUCACAACAAUUUUUUAUAUGUGUACUAAUAAAACAGGAAUGCAUCCCCUGAGCAGGUGAACUGAUGUGGAAGAAAAAUAAGCUGGAAAUGUGAAGUGAGAUUUUGCAAGACAGGGAAGAAGUAAGUGUGGAGAGGAAACCCCUCGUACAAUCACUCUUUAGAGCCCAGAAUGUAAAUGAAAGCAUCCAGAUCACAUGAGGUCCCAUUUUGAAAAGAUUUUAUUCAUCCCAGUCUUUGUAAGAUUCUAUUUUUCCCCCAUAAUUUUAUUACAGAACCUGAGUAACUCAAUCUUCUGUCUUUUUCACCCCUUGAUUCCUUAGAAAUAAUAAUUUAAAAAAGAACUUUUUUUGUUGGGUUUGGGGUUUACUUUUCAUGUUCUGCUUGGUGUAAACCAAAUCUGUAGUAGGACUCAACAAAGUGACAACAAGGAGAAAAAAAAUGUAACCCCCCCCUUGUUUCUGUGUUUUCUGUCUCUGAAUUUUUCUCAGGAUACAUGUACCAUGUGCUGCACUUUUUAUCUGGUAGUCCUUGAACAGAAAAUACCCUUUCUUAAAUUUCACAAGUGGCUUUCUGUGUAAAAAAAGAGCUAUAGAAUACAUUAGAAUACCUGAUUCACCUGGGGUUUUUUCCUGCUCUUUUAUAACAGCCUAAGGUGGGAUAAUAUAUUUUUCCUAUGUAGCAGAAUCUCUGCUGCCAUUUUUUAAUUAGGUUCUAAAAAUUGCAUUUGUAUUUUUGUUCGAAACUACUGUGUUGGAUUCAUGUUCUUAUUAUUGUGGUUCUAAUGACCCUCUCUUUUUUUAAUAUUUAUAUGACCACAUAUCACAAGUUUAAAAUAUACAGGAAAUGAGACUAUAACUCCACAUUUGAAACAGAUUUAGUGUCAUCAUGACUUUAUUUACCCUAUAGUGUUCUUUAAACAAAUAUUUGGCAUCUUUUAACAGUGCCAAGGUUAACCCACAUAAAACAAUAGAAAACAAUCCCCCUGUGAAGUAAUAUUUGUACUAAGCAACCUAUUUUAAAAUAUUUAGCAUUCUUUGAUGCUCUGUU